GCUUGCUCCGCUGACGAGUGGCGAACGGGUGAGUAAUACAUCGGAACGUGUCCCGUAGUGGGGGAUAGCCCGGCGAAAGCCGGAUUAAUACCGCAUACGAUCUAAGGAUGAAAGCGGGGGAUCUUCGGACCUCGCGCUAUAGGUGCGACCGAUGGCAGAUUAGCUAGUUGGUGGGGUAAAGGCCUACCAAGGCGACGAUCUGUAGCUGGUCUGAGAGGACGACCAGCCACACUGGGACUGGGACACGGCCCAGACUCCUACGGGAGGCAGCAGUGGGUAAUUUUGGACAAUGGGCGCAAGCCUGAUCCAGCAAUGCCGCGUGUGUGAAGAAGGCCUUCGGGUUGUAAAGCACUUUUGUUCGGGAAGAAAA
rnacentral:rRNA from 1 species